AUUAACGCUGGCAGCGUGCAUAACACAUGCAAGUCGAACGGAGUAUCUGAGAUUAUAUCAAAGGUACUUAGUGGCAGACGAGAGCGUAACACGUAGGAAAUCUACCCCGGAGCGGGGAAUAACCAGCCGAAAGGUUGGCUAAUAUCCCGUACGAUCUUGAGGAGGCAUCUCCUUGGGAUGAAAGGCGCAAGCCGCUCUGGGAGGAUCCUGCGGCCUAUCAGCUAGUUGGCGGUGUAAAAGACCACCAAGGCGACGACGGGUAGCCGGCCUGAAAGGGCGAUCGGCCUCGGAGGCACUGAGACACGGGCCUCACUUCUACGGAAGGCAGCAGUGGGGAAUUUUGGACAAUGGGCGAAAGCCUGAUCCAGCAACGCUGCGUGGGGGACGAAGGUCUUCGGAUUGUAAACCCCUUUUCCCUGGGAAAAAAUCCCGCAAGGGUCUGAUGGUACCAGGGGAAUAAGCCACGGCUAACUACGU
rnacentral:rRNA from 1 species